UAGAGUUUGAUCCUGGCUCAGAUUGAACGCUGGCGGCAUGCCUUACACAUGCAAGUCGAACGGCAGCACGGGGGCAACCCUGGUGGCGAGUGGCGAACGGGUGAGUAAUACAUCGGAACGUGUCCUGUAGUGGGGGAUAGCCCGGCGAAAGCCGGAUUAAUACCGCAUACGAUCUACGGAGGAAAGCGGGGGAUCUUCGGACCUCGCGCUGCAGGGGCGGCCGAUGGCAGAUUAGCUAGUUGGUGGGGUAAAGGCCUACCAAGGCGACGAUCUGUAGCUGGUCUGAGAGGACGACCAGCCACACUGGGACUGAGACACGGCCCAGACUCCUACGGGAGGCAGCAGUGGGGAAUUUUGGACAAUGGGGGCAACCCUGAUCCAGCAAUGCCGCGUGUGUGAAGAAGGCCUUCGGGUUGUAAAGCACUUUUGUCCGGAAAGAAAACUUCGUCCCUAAUAUGGAUGGAGGAUGACGGUACCGGAAGAAUAAGCACCGGCUAACUACGUGCCAGCAGCCGCGGUAAUACGUAGGGUGCGAGCGUUAAUCGGAAUUACUGGGCGUAAAGCGUGCGCAGGCGGUCUGUUAAGACCGAUGUGAAAUCCCCGGGCUUAACCUGGGUACUGCAUUGGUGACUGGCAGGCUAGAGUGUGGCAGAGGGAGGUAGAAUUCCACGUGUAGCAGUGAAAUGCGU
rnacentral:rRNA from 1 species